UACAGAGGGUGCGAGCGUUGUUCGGAAUCACUGGGCGUAAAGCGCGCGCAGGCGGGCGUGUAAGUCAGAAGUGAAAUUCCGGGGCUCAACCCCGGAGCUGCUCCUGAUACUGCACGUCUGGAGACCGGUAGAGGCUGGUGGAAUUCCCGGUGUGGCGGUGGAAUGCGUAGAGAUCGGGAAGAACACCCGUGGCGAAGGCGGCCAGCUGGGCCGGUUCUGACGCUGAGGCGCGAAAGCGUGGGGAGCAAACAGG
rnacentral:rRNA from 1 species